AGUGAACGCUGGCGGUAGGCCUAACACAUGCAAGUCGAACGGCAGCACAGUAAGAGCUUGCUCUUACGGGUGGCGAGUGGCGGACGGGUGAGGAAUACAUCGGAAUCUACUUUUUCGUGGGGGAUAACGUAGGGAAACUUACGCUAAUACAGUAUACCACCUACGGGUGAAUGCAGGGGAUCUUCGUACCUUGCGCGAUUGACUGAGCCGAUGUCGGAUUAGCUAGUUGGCGGGGUAAAGGCCCACCAAGGCGACGAUCCGUAGCUGGUCAGAGAGGAUGAUCAGCCACACUGGAACUGAGACACGGUCCAGACUCCUACGGGAGGCAGCAGUGGGGAAUAUUGGACAAUGGGCGCAAGCCUGAUCCAGCCAGACCGCGUGGGUGAAGAAGGCCUUCGGGUUGUAAAGCCCUUUUGUUGGGAAAGAAAAGCAGCAGGUUAAUACCCCGCUGUUCUGACGGUACCCAAAGAAUAAGCACCGGCUAACUUCGUG
rnacentral:rRNA from 1 species